AAGAAAAGUCAAUCAAAAAGUCAGACAUCAGAUGUGAUCGUGUACGAGAUCUUUGGUUUUGAAGAUGAAACUCUGCC